UGUGGGGACGCAGGGAGGAAAGAAGAGCCGGGAAUGAAGAGACCGGUGCAAGCGAGGUAGGAGUCUGAAAGGCAAAACCGUCAGACAAUCCGAAGACGUGAUGCGCAGCGAACUGAAGUAGCGAAGCUUCGGCCCCUAACUGCCAAGAAAAGCCGCUAUUGUUUGCAUGACACCCGUACCGUAAACCGGCACAGGUGGAUGAGGAGAGAAUCCUAAGGCCGACGGGAGAAGCAUUGUUAAGGAACUCGGCAAAAUGACCCCGUAACUUCGGGAGAAGGGGUGCCUCGAAAGAGGCCGCAGAGAAUUGGCCCAAGCAACUGUUUAGCAAAAACACAGGUCUAUGCAAAACCGAAAGGUGAGGUAUAUGGGCUGACGCCUGCCCGGUGCUGGAAGGUUAAGAGGAGAGCUUAGCGCAAGCAAAGGUUUGAAUUUAAGCCCCAGUAAACGGCGGCCGUAACUAUAACGGUCCUAAGGUAGCGAAAUUCCUUGUCGGGUAAGUUCCGACCCGCACGAAAGGCGUAAUGAUUUGGGCGCUGUCUCGACAAUGCACCCGGUGAAAUUGAAGUACCAGUGAAGAUGCUGGUUACCCGCGCCAGGACGGAAAGACCCCAUGGAGCUUUACUCUAGCUUGAUACUGGGAUUCGGUAUUGUCUGUACAGGAUAGGUGGAGGCUAUGAACCGUGGACGCCAGUCUGCGGGGAGCCGCUGUUGGGAUACCACCCUUACAAUACUGGAUUUCUAACCUGCCGCCAUGACCUGGCGGAGGGACAAUGUCUGGUGGGGAGUUUGACUGGGGCGGUCGCCUCCGAAAGAGUAUCGGAGGCGCUCAAAGGUCCUCUCAGGAUGGACGGAAACCAUCCGAAGAGUGCAAAGGCAUAAGAGGGCUUGACUGUGACACCGACGGGUGGAGCAGGUACGAAAGUAGGACUUAGUGAUCCGGUGGUAGAAAGUGGGAUUGCCAUCGCUCAACGGAUAAAAGCUACCCUGGGAUAACAGGCUUAUCACUCCCAAGAGUUCACAUCGACGGAGUGGUUUGGCACCUCGAUGUCGGCUCAUCGCAUCCUGGGGCUGUAGCAGGUCCCAAGGGUUGGGCUGUUCGCCCAUUAAAGCGGUACGCGAGCUGGGUUCAGAACGUCGUGAGACAGUUCGGUCCCUAUCCGGCGCGGGCGUAGGAUAUUUGAGAGGAGCUGUCCUUAGUACGAGAGGACCGGGAUGGACGAACCGCUGGUGGAUCGGUUGCAUUAUCAAGUGCAUGGCCGAGUAGCCAAGUUCGGAAGGGAUAAACGCUGAAGGCAUCUAAGCGUGAAGCCCCCCUCAAGAUGAGAUAUCCCAUUCUUUAAAAGAAGUAAGACCCCUUGAAGACCACGAGGUAGAUAGGGCAGAGGUGGAAGUACGGUAACGUAUGGAGCUGACUGUCACUAAUCGGUCGAGGGCUUGAC
rnacentral:rRNA from 1 species